rnacentral:lncRNA from 1 species
CUGUCUCUACUGUAGAAAAAGAGAUGGGUAUCAUUCUUCCUUUCUGGUUUUAGGACUUGGGGACUGGACCCAAAGGCUCCUGGGCCUGAAGAACUGGACUUCCAAACAGCAGCGUUGAUGGUUAAUUGUUUUUGAGAUGGCUGAAAAAGAUGGAGAACUUAAAACAUGCCGUUGGACUCUGCCUAAAGUCAUGGCAGUGGGAGCCGGCACCUUCCUGCUUUUGGCUGGAAUCGGAGUUGGGAUUUGGGCAAUAGUGGUGUCUGUGCUUGGGAGUGAAAAGGGAAGCUUAUAUGCGGGUGAGUAUGCGACCAAGGGCACUGGAACUCUUCCCGCCAUUUGUGACCUAGCCUCACCUUUUCCAGCCCGAUGUCUUCAGGAACUGUGGGACUACAGCUUCUCCAAUUCCCAGC